CCUGAUCCACAGAGACCAUGAGUUAAUAAAUGUUUGUUGUUUUAACGCAUUGUUUUAUGGUAAUUUGUUAUGCACCCACAGGUAACACCUGGUAAGUAGAAUGGAUGGAGAACAGGAAGAAAAGAAAAUCACCCUGAAGACAAAAGAAAACAGAAAAGGAAGACCAGAAAAGGGAGGACCUACCUGGCAGAGGAAUAAAAUCUACUUCGCUGAUACUUCUAACAUUGAAGGUGGAGGAAAAUAAUCCAAUUUAGAGGCCAAUCAUUUGAACAAGCGCGUGAUAAGGCUACCAGUAAUAUGUCAAGAAUCUGCACCCAGCAUUGCCUUUAUCUGACUGCCAACUCUGCAUCACCAUCACGUACCAGCCCUCUAUAACGGUCAGAUGGUAAGUAGAGGUGGGUGGGUAGGGGAUUGGGGGGGCUACUUUUUUAAGUAUGAAGAAGAAACAUAGAGGAAUAUAAGAAUAUCUUGCUUGAAACAUAAUCUCUAGGCCUGGGAGAAAUUGCCUUCAUCCUUCCUUCCUGUCCCCACAUCACCAAAGCUCCACCCUGCUCCUCCUUAGGGCAGGGAUAGAGCAUUAGAAGAAAGCAGGACAGUUUCCAGCUGUGCCACUCCUUUCUAGAGACAAAAGCAUUUGCUUUUUUUCUUCCUG
rnacentral:lncRNA from 1 species